rnacentral:rRNA from 1 species
AUUGAACGCUGGCGGCAGGCCUAACACAUGCAAGUCGAGCGGAUGAAGGGAGCUUGCUCCUGGAUUCAGCGGCGGACGGGUGAGUAAUGCCUAGGAAUCUGCCUGGUAGUGGGGGAUAACGUCCGGAAACGGGCGCUAAUACCGCAUACGUCCUGAGGGAGAAAGUGGGGGAUCUUCGGACCUCACGCUAUCAGAUGAGCCUAGGUCGGAUUAGCUAGUUGGUGGGGUAAAGGCCUACCAAGGCGACGAUCCGUAACUGGACUGAGAGGAUGAUCAGUCACACUGGAGCUGGGACACGGUCCAGACUCCUACGGGAGGCAGCAGUGGGGAAUAUUGGACAAUGGGCGAAAGCCUGAUCCAGCCAUGCCGCGUGUGUGAAGAAGGUCUUCGGAUUGUAAAGCACUUUAAGUUGGGAGGAAGGGCAGUAAGUUAAUACCUUGCUGUUUUGACGUUACCAACAGAAUAAGCACCGGCUAACUUCGUG